rnacentral:rRNA from 1 species
ACUCCUACGGGAGGCAGCAGUGGGGAAUAUUGGGCAAUGGGCGAAAGCCUGACCCAGCAACGCCGCGUGAAGGACGAAGGUCUUCGGAUUGUAAACUUCUGUUAUGAGGGAAAAAGAAAGUGAUGGUACCUCAUGAGAAAGCCACGGCUAACUACGUGCCAGCAGCCGCGGUAAAACGUAGGUGGCAAGCGUUAUCCGGAAUUACUGGGCGUAAAGAGAGUGUAGGUGGCUAGGUAGGUCACAUGUGAAAGCCCGCGGCUUAACCGUGGAAGUGCAUGUGAUACUGUUUAGCUAGAGUGCAGGAGAGGUGAGUGGAAUUCCUAGUGUAGCGGUAGAAUGCGUAGAGAUUAGGAGGAACACCAGAGGCGAAGGCGACUCACUGGACUGUAACUGACACUGAGACUCGAAAGCGUGGGUAGCAAACAGGAUUAGAUACCCUGGUAGUC